CCGGGCAGGACUUGCAAGUCGGGACAUGAUUUAAUCUUGAACAAGAACUCAAAAAGGGAAAACAAGGAGAAGGAACAAGGUGCCGAUCGCACUUGAAGCUAAAUACUUAGCAUGGAUUGGAAGACAAGAGACGUGACGAGAGCAUGAAGCAAACACUUGGCAUAAACUGAGGCCUGGAACACUCAGGGAACUGUGGCAUGAAACCAGCAAGACUUACUUGGCAAGGUAACAAAACUUACGUGGAUGUCACCGCCAGGGAGCAUUGGAAUGCGCCCUCAUCCUUGCGCUCUGCUUCUCACCUCGAGACACGCCCACGGCCGCGCAUAUCCAGGGACGCGCCGUGCAAGUCUCUGCCCUGCAGCAGCCACCAGCUGCAAGCAUUCACCGGCAAUCAGCACACCUGCCUGAAUGAAGGAGCUGCCUUCAUAAGCCUGCUCAACAUGCCAUCAGGCGCUGCAAUAUAGUCUUCCGUACAACCUCCGUUCCCGUGUUUGACGUUGCUGUGUGUCUCCUCAUUUCUGGCCGCCGUUCCCCUGCUUCCCGGACUGCCUCUUGGAUCUCGACCUCCCUCUUGGACUCGGACUUCUCUCUCCCUUGGACAUCCUCGUGUCUCGUUCAACACUUGGUAACACACACUUCAGCUAACCACACACAUAGUCUUACACUACACACUCUUGGAUUUUGUCACACUCCAUUUCCUCAGUUUAUUAGUUAGCAUUGAGAUGGUUUCCUGUGGACGGGACUCUCGCUGCUGUCUUGGAGCCACUAUGGAUUGAACUUUCACAGUAUCAUGUUAGACCCGCUCGACAUCCAUUGCUUUCGGUCCCCUAGAGGGGGGGGGUUGCCCACAUCUGAGGUCCUCUCCAAGGUUUCUCAUAGUCAGCAUUGUCACUGGCGUCCCACUGGAUGUGAAUUCUCCCUGCCCACUGGGUGUGAGUUUUCCUUGCCCUUUUGUGGGUUCUUCCGAGGAUGUUGUAGUCGUAAUGAUUUGUGCAGUCCUUUGAGACAUUUGUGAUUUGGGGCUAUAUAAAUAAACAUUGAUUGAUUGAUAUUGUUUAUUAUUAUUAUAUAUAUUGACUAUAUAUAUAAAAUAAAGCAUUGAACAUAACA